AGUGAACGCUGGCGGUAGGCCUAACACAUGCAAGUCGAACGGCAGCACAGUAAGAGCUUGCUCUUACGGGUGGCGAGUGGCGGACGGGUGAGGAAUACAUCGGAAUCUACUUUUUCGUGGGGGAUAACGUAGGGAAACUUACACUAAUACCGCAUACGACCUACGGGUGAAAGCAGGAGAUCUUCGGACCUUGCGCGAUUGAAUGAGCCGAUGUCGGAUUAGCUAGUUGGCGGGGUAAAGGCCCACCAAGGCGACGAUCCGUAGCUGGUCUGAGAGGAUGAUCAGCCACACUGGAACUGAGACACGGUCCAGACUCCUACGGGAGGCAGCAGUGGGGAAUAUUGGACAAUGGGCGCAAGCCUGAUCCAGCCAUACCGCGUGGGUGAAGAAGGCCUUCGGGUUGUAAAGCCCUUUUGUUGGGAAAGAAAAGCAGCAGGUUAAUACCCCGCUGUUCUGACGGUACCCAAAGAAUAAGCACCGGCUAACUUCGUG
rnacentral:rRNA from 1 species